AUAGCAAUUGCUCUUUUGGAA
rnacentral:miRNA from 1 species